rnacentral:tRNA from 1 species
GUCCCUGUAGCACAAUAGAUAGCGAGUUGAACUGCUAAUCCAAAAGUGGUAGGUUCGAAUCCUACCUGGGAUG